rnacentral:misc_RNA from 1 species
AAUUCUCAACCUUAUCGGUUGGAUGUGGGGGUUGCUGGCUGGCUAGGUCAGCUCCCCUUAAAUGCAUUAGCUGGUGUUGACUGUCCUGUCUAUCGGUGUGAUAAUUAUCUACGCUGUGGAUGGAUGGUCCUUAGCACUGCUUCUAACUGUCUGUCCCAAGACAAAUACAUGACA